CAGUCGCCACGGUAAUACGGAGGGUGCAAGCGUUAAUCGGAAUUACUGGGCGUAAAGCGCACGCAGGCGGUCUGACAAGUCAGAUGUGAAAUCCCCGGGCUUAACCUGGGAACUGCAUUUGAAACUGUCAGGCUGGAGUCUUGUAGAGGGGGGUGGAAUUCCAGGUGUAGCGGUGAAAUGCGUAGAGAUCUGGAGGAAUACCGGUGGCGAAGGCGGCCCCCUGGACAAAGACUGACGCUCAGGUGCGGAAGCGUGGGGAGCAAACAGGAUUAGAUACCCGGGUAGUCCCUGUCUCUUAUAC
rnacentral:rRNA from 1 species